UAUAAUACACACUACAUUAUGAUGUGGACCAUGGCUGUCAUUCUGGAACCUUCUCUCAUGCUCUUUUGCAUAUAACCCGCCGAAGAUAACUGCUGUUCUGGAAUCCCUGCCGAAUUAAUUUACCAGCACUUUAGUUUUAGAGCCCAUGAGUCCUCACAGAUGUUUUCCUGAUUGUCUUUUGGGAUGAAGGUUCACUGAGAAUAGUCCUGGACAGCCUGGAUCCUUUGUACAGAGGUGCUACAGAGAGUUCAGAGGCACCAGAUGUCAUCUUAAAUUUUCUAGACAACACAGAGAGACUGACUAAACAGCUGUCAGACACCACGCUGACAGUUGCUGUGAUAAAAUGCCACAAAAGUUAAUCAGUGGAGAACAAAAAAUCAAAGUGGCAAUGACCAUCCUGAUUCUAAAGUUGAGAGUUGUGUGUACCUGACCAAUCGGAAUGCCUGUCCUAUGAGUCACUGUGAGUGCUUAGGAAUAAAACGAAUGCGUUAUUUUU